rnacentral:lncRNA from 10 species
GUGGGGGGCUUGCAGGGGUGCCUGGGUCGGGGGCUGCAGGUGGGAGUGAGCAAAUGUGCUGUCUCGCCACCUCGGGACAGGUGGUAGGGCCUCUGACACAGAGUGGUCCUUCCUGCUGUUCACAGCUCAGCUCACCGUGGGCUGACCAUAGGUAGGUGACAGUCCCCUUUCUGGCCUCGGUUUCCCUGUCUGUAAAUUGGGGAUAAUAAGCUCAAGAGCUGUCCCUGCCAGAACCCAGUGGACAGAAAUCCAGCAGCUGCUAUGGGAAGCGACCCGCCCAGCCUGCCCCGCCCUGCCUGGGGAAGCAGGCCUUCUGCUUGAGGGGGACUGGGCGCAUGCUGGGCCUCUGGUCUGCGCAGUCUGCCCGGGGUCUGUGAGUGCUUGUGAGUGGGCUUCUCCAGUCUCCAGAUUCUCGUUGAAAUCCUAACGCCCCAGGCAAUGAUGUUAGGAGGCGGGGCUUCUGGGAGAUGGCAAGUUCGUGAGGCUGCAGCUCUGCUGGGGGAUCAGUGUCCUUCUACAAGCGGCUCCAGGGAGGUCCCUUGCCCCUUCCACCAUGUGAGGACCCGAGAUGGUGCCGUCUAUGAACCGGGAAGUGAGUCCUCUCCGGACGUGGAACAAGUUGGUGCCUUGAUUUUGAACUUGCAGCCUCCAGGUGAGCCGCUGCUUGGGGUGAGCAUGCUUCCUGCUGGAUGCUUCUCUAUGUAAGCACCUGCCUGAGUGUCAGCCCUCUUAAGGUGAACCGCUCCGUGUCAUUCGUACAUUCACAAGUUUGUGCCGCCAUCAUCGUGAUCGGAUUCCAAAACAUUUUCAUCACCUCCAAGAAAGCCUUGUACCUGGCAGCAGUCACUGUCUCUAUGGAUUUGCUUAUUCUGGA